CAAUAUAAUGUGGAAAUUGUUAACAAAAUAGGUUCUAGUAAAAGCAUCCGGUUUUUACAUACUUUUGGUCUGUUUAAAUUAUUUUUCUAAGAUUUAUUAACUCACAAAAAAUUGAGAAACAGGUCGUCCCGACACUGGUCGUAAAACAUGAGGAAUUAAAUGAAAAUAUAUGACGUUACAUUUAAUAGCCGAAUUUUUUUGCGUUAUCAAAAUCGUGCGACGUUAAUACCCCACGCAAUGCUACAGGACCGAAGUGAUUAUCAUGAUAUAUGGUCGGGUGAACAAUAAAGUAAUGAGCGAGGUGACCGAGCGGCAAGCGGCCACUCUUAUGACGCGCCUUAUCUGCCACCGCACGCUAUGUGUGUUUGUUCAGACUUUCCUACUUCAGUGACGCCAUGUUGGUUCAAUACGGGCUUCACGCCAAUGCAAACGUUACAAAUGAUAUCUAAACGAUCUUGCCGUGCCCGGGGCUAAUAAUAAUAAACUCCAACGCUGCCAUAUUAAAGGACGGAAUCGCCAUGUUUCGAGGCUAAAAUAUGUUCGGUAUCAUAAAACUUUUAACAGAAUCUAAGUAUUUAUUACGUAAGUUGGAGUUUUGCUCGAGUAAGGAAGUAAUGCAGUAUUUCGUAUAGAGGCAGCCCUACUCGGUAACACAAAUAAAACAGCGAU